CCGGCGACCGGCGGCACGGGUGAGUAACACGUAUGCAACCUGGCCGUCACAGGUGGAUAACCGGAAGAAAUUCCGACUAAUACAGCAUAACACUCCUGAGGGACAUCCUUCGGGAGUCAAAGGAGGCAACUCCGGUGACGGAUGGGCAUGCGGCGCAUUAGGUAGUUGGUAGGGUAACGGCCUACCAAGCCGACGAUGCGUAGGGGUUCUGAGAGGAAGGUCCCCCACAUUGGAACUGAGACACGGUCCAAACUCCUACGGAAGGCAGCAG
rnacentral:rRNA from 1 species